AGCGAACGCUGGCGGCAGGCCUAACACAUGCAAGUCGAACGCACCUUCGGGUGAGUGGCGGACGGGUGAGGAACACGUGGGAACGUACCUUUUGGUUCGGAAUAACGCAGGGAAACUUGUGCUAAUACCGAAUGUGCCCUUCGGGGGAAAGAUUUAUCGCCAUUAGAGCGGCCCGCGUUAGAUUAGCUAGUUGGUGAGGU
rnacentral:rRNA from 1 species